AUGACCCCAGGUUAGGCGCGAUUACCCGCUGAGUUUAAGAAUAUCAAUAAGUUGUGGAAAAGAAACUUACAAGGAUUUCCUUAGAACGGCGAACGAAUUGGGAAUAACUCAGCCUUAGAAUCGGGCGAUUGUAUCAUCCGAAUUAUAGUGUAGAGAAGUAUCCUCAGAGGCGAACCGAGACCAAUUCCCCUGUAAGAAGGCACCAAAGAGGGUGAGAGACUCGUUGUGCUAUGAACCUUCACACCAAAUAAGUCGGGUUCAUGCGGUCAAUUUCGUCCAAGGCUAAAUAUAGGCGAGAGGUCGAUAGCGAACAAGUACUUCGAGGGAAAGAUAAAAAAGACUUUGAAAAAAGAGUCAAAGAGUGCUUGAAAUUAUUGGGAGGGAAGAAGUUGGUGGCCAGUGAUGCACCCCGGUCGGAUGUGGAAUGAUGAUAAGCUGGUCCGCCAAUUGACUCGGUGUGUGGACUAGCAUGGGUUGGAGAAGAGGCCAAAGCCCGAGCUUUUGAUACGCUCAUAAAAUGUCUUCUCCUCAAUAAUGGUAGGCAAUGUGCACCUCUAGCGUGCUUCAGCAUCUAUGUGCUUUGGACACUGGCCUGUGGGCUUCCCAUUAGACCCGUCUUAAAAUAAGCACUAAGGAGUCUGACAUGUGUGUGAGUCAACGGAUGAGUAAACUCGUAAGGCGUAAGGAAGCUGAUUGGUGUGAUCCCCCUAAGAGGUGCACCAUUGACUGACCUUGAUCUUUUGAGAAGAGUUUGAGUGUGAGCAUACCUAUCGAGAGAUAAAAGAUGGUGAACUAUGCCUGAGCGGAGCGAAGCCAGAGGAAACUAUGGUGGAGGCCAGUAGUGAUAUUGAUGUGCAAAUCAUUUAUCUGACUUGGGUAUAGGGGAUAAAGACUAAUCGAACUAUCUAGUAGCUGGUUCCAUCUGAAGUUUCCCUUAGGAUAAAUGGAGAUUGCAUGCGAGUUCUAUGUAGUAAAGCCAAUAAUUAGAGGCCUCGAGGGUGCAAUGCCCUCGAUCUAUUCACAAACUUUAAAUAGAUUGGAUGGCGCGACUGCUUUGUUGAGCCACACCAUGAAAUCAAGAGCUCCAAGUGGGCCAUUUUUGGUAAGCAGAACUGGAAAUAUGGGAUAUACCAAAAGACGGGUUACGGUGCUAAACUGUGCACUAACCUAGAUCCCACAAAGGGUGUUGGUCGAUUAAGACAGUAGGACGGUGGUCAUGGAAGUUGAAAUCUACUAAAAAGUUUGUAACAACUAGCCUGUUGAAUCAACUAACCCUAAAAAUAGAUGGUGCUUAAGCGCUCAAACUACACCAGGCCGUCAGGGAAAGUACUAGGCCCCGAUAAGUAGGAGGGCGUAGAGGUCGCUGCAAAACCUUAGGCACGAGCCCGAACGAAGCGGUCGUCGGGGUAGAUCUUUGUGGUAAUAGCAAAUAUUCAAAUAAUAACUUUGAAGGCUAUAGAGGGGAAAGGUUCCUUGUGAAUGACACUUGCUCAUGGGUUAGUCAAUCUUUAAGGUCAGGGGAACCUUGAUGGAUAUCGCAUUUUGUGUGUACUCCAAAAGAGAAUCGGGUAAAAAUUACUGAUUUGAGAUGUGGCGGUCGAUGGCAAUAUUAGGAAAUCCGAAGAUGUUAGUGAAAGACUUGGGAAGAGUUAUCUUUUUUUUUAACAGCCUUUUUACCCUGGAAUCGACUCUAUCAGAGGUAGGAUCCAGCGGCUAGAUGGAUACCGUACUUUACAUAGUGUUUGGUGCGCUCUAGACAACCCUUAAAAAUCUAGAGGACCGAAUACCGUCCACGCUUAAUCAUACUCAUAACAGCAUCAGGUCUCCAAGGUGAAUAGCCUCUGGCUGAUGGAACAAUGUAGGUAAGGGAAGUCGGCAAAAUAGAUCCACAACUUGUAAAGGAUUGACUUUAAGGGCUGGCCACGGGGGUCUAAUCCUGAGCCCAUCGAUUGUCAGUGGACUUCUUGAGCUAUUCCCAUGGCGAAAGGGGGUCACCGUAUAUCAAACGGGGGAUGGAUUGGAAAUGGUUCAUUCAUGGGACUUCCCCACGUGUCGAACAACAAACUCAAAAUAGGUACAGACAAGGGGAAUCAAACUGUUUAAUUAAAACAAAGCAUUGCGAUAUCCCAAUAAAUGUUUAAGCAAUUAGAUUUCUGUCCAAUGCUCCGAAUGUCAAAGUGAAGAAAUUCAACCAAGUAUGGGUAAACGGUGGGAGUAACUAUGAAUCUCCUAAGGUAUCCAAAUGUCUCAUCAUCUAAUUAGUGAUGUGCAUGAAUGGAUUAACAAGAUUUCCACUCACUCUGUCUACUAUGCCGUAAAACCACAACCAAAGAAAUGGGCUUGGCAGAAUCAGCAGGGAAAAAGACCCUGUUGAGCUUGACUCUAGUUUGAAUUUUUGAAAUGACUUGAGAGCUUUAGUAUAAGUAGGAGCCAAAAGAAAAAAGUGAAGACAUUGCCCCUCUUUUUGGACCCAAGGCUUGCUCUACAGGCUAUAUGGGUGGAAGACAUUAUCAGGUGGGGAGUUUGGCUGGGGCAGCACAUCUGUUAAAAGAUAACAUAGGUGUCCUAUGAUAAGCUCUACGUGAAUACAUUCGUACUGUGAAAGAUAUUCGUACUAUGAAAACAUGGCCUAACGAUCCUUUAGACCUUCAAAAUUCAAAGAUAGAGUUGUCAGAAAAGUUACCACAGGGAUAACUGGCUUGUGUCAGCUAAGUAUUCAUUGUGACAUUUCUUUUUUAUCCUUUGAUGUUGGAUCUUCCUAUCAUUAUGAAGUAGAAUUCCCCAGGUAUUUGAUUGUUCACCCACCAAUAGAAAAUGUGAGCUGGGUUUAGACCGUCGUAAGACAUGUUAGUUUUACCUUACUGAUGAUAGUGUCGCAAUAGCAAUUCAACUUAGUACUAGAGAAACUGUUGAUUUACAUAAUUCAUCAUCACACUUAGUAGAAAAGACAGUGGCGCAAAGCUACCAUGUGCUAGAUUAUGGCUGAAUUCCUCUACGUCAUAAUCUGGGAUAGAAGUGAUGCAUGCGCUCUUCGUUUCCUUACCGACCCACAGUAGAGGCCUUGGCCUUCAAGGACAUGUGUCGUUGGCUAAGUCGCCAUAGAAGAAGGGUCGUAGUGGCCUUUUUCAAGUACAAUUUCCAUCAAACGGUGGGUUGAAUCCUUUAUAGAUGACUUAAAUAUGCUACGGGGUAUUGUAAGUAGCAGAGUGGCCUUGCUUCCAUGAUCCACUAAGAUUCAGCCUUUUAUCGCUCUGGUUUGC
rnacentral:rRNA from 1 species